ACAGGUACAUUUUCUUUCUGAUUCGUUACCUUUAUUGAUCGAUUCAAAAUCGAUAGGAAUUGUUCAAAUGUGAAGUCAUCACGAUUGAUUCUGACGAUUGUCAUCUUACGCCAGCCAAAUAUUGUGCGCCGCAGUAAAUAAACGGAUAAAUUUCAUAAAGAUAGUAGUAAUAAUAUUUAUGGAACUAUUAUAGUCAUAUGUUAAAAGUAUAAAUGAAAAGUAUUAUGAAUAUUAAAUCCAGUUGACGUUAUAUGACAGUGAUGAAAUUGUUUUAUAAAAAUGUAUCAGUUUCGCAACUUGAUACAUAAGAAUUUCAAAAUGACAGAUUACCUAACAGGACUUAUAUCUUGGCUUUUAUUUUCUGUGAUUGAAGCGAAGUCAAAUUCAACAGAUUCGGGUAGAUUUGGAGGAUUAACAGAUGAUAUGAUAAAAGG